rnacentral:tRNA from 1 species
GCGGAUAUAGAUUAAAGGUAAAUCCUCUGUCUUCCAAACAGAAGUUAUGGGUUCGAAUCCCAUUGUCCGCA